rnacentral:rRNA from 1 species
GAUGAACGCUGGCGGCGUGCCUAAUACAUGCAAGUCGAGCGAACUGAUUAGAAGCUUGCUUCUAUGACGUUAGCGGCGGACGGGUGAGUAACACGUGGGCAACCUGCCUGUAAGACUGGGAUAACUUCGGGAAACCGAAGCUAAUACCGGAUAGGAUCUUCUCCUUCAUGGGAGAUGAUUGAAAGAUGGUUUCGGCUAUCACUUACAGAUGGGCCCGCGGUGCAUUAGCUAGUUGGUGAGGUAACGGCUCACAAAGGCAACGAUGCAUAGCCGACCUGAGAGGGUGAUCGGCCACACUGGGACUGAGACACGGCCCAGACUCCUACGGGAGGCAGCAGUAGGGAAUCUUCCGCAAUGGACGAAAGUCUGACGGAGCAACGCCGCGUGAGUGAUGAAGGCUUUCGGGUCGUAAAACUCUGUUGUUAGGAAAGAACAAGUACAAGAGUAACUGCUUGUACCUUGACGGUACCUAACCAGAAAGCCACGGCUAACUACGUGCCAGCAGCCGCCGUAAAAC